CCGUGCCCUGUUCAGCAAGAGU
rnacentral:misc_RNA from 1 species